CAUUGAAUGGCUGAAAUAUUAAGCAAUGGUCUCUUAAACCAAUUUAUAGUAUCUAUACUUUCAAUGA
rnacentral:tRNA from 1 species